GUACCUUUUGCAUCAUGAUUUAGCUAGAAAUCCCCAAGCAAAGAGCACUUUAGUUUGUUACCCCGAAACUAAGUGAGCUACCCCAGGGCAGCCUCCUAACUGGGCUAACCCGUCUCUGUGGCAAAAGAGUGGGAAGACCUUCGAGUAGCGGUGAAACAUCAACCGAACUUAGUUAUAGCUGGUUGCCUGAGAAAUGAAUAGAAGUUCAGCCCUUUGGUUUCUUAUUUCCCCUAGAGCCUAAUUCCCUUCAGAUUCCCUGAGAAACCCUAGAGAGUUAGUCAGAGGGGGGACAGCUCCUCUGACAAAAGAUACAACUUUUUCAGGUGGGUAAAGAUCAUAAUUUUUAAAGGUACAUCCCCCGGUAGGCUUGAAAGCAGCCAUCCCAACAGAAAGCGUCACAGCUCAGAGACCCCCUAACCCCUGCCAAUCCCGAUAAUG
rnacentral:rRNA from 1 species